rnacentral:rRNA from 1 species
CCUACGGGGGGCUGCAGUGGGGAAUAUUGCACAAUGGGGGAAACCCUGAUGCAGCGACGCCGCGUGAAGGAAGAAGUAUUUCGGUAUGUAAACUUCUAUCAGCAGGGAAGAAAAUGACGGUACCUGACUAAGAAGCCCCGGCUAACUACGUGCCAGCAGCCGCGGUAAUACGUAGGGGGCAAGCGUUAUCCGGAUUUACUGGGUGUAAAGGGAGCGUAGACGGCAGCGCAAGUCUGGAGUGAAAUGCCGGGGCCCAACCCCGGAACUGCUCUGGAAACUGUGAAGCUGGAGUGCAGGAGAGGUAAGCGGAAUUCCUGGUGUAGCGGUGAAAUGCGUAGAUAGCAGGAGGAACACCGGCGGCGAAGGCGGCUUACUGGACUGUAACUGACGUUGAGGCUCGAAGGCGUGGGGAGCAAACAGGAUUAGAUACCCGAGUAGUC